rnacentral:tRNA from 1 species
CAGGGAGUAGUUUAUUAUUAAAAUAUUAAUUUUGGGGAUUAAUGAAAAAGGAUACCUUUUUCUCUGA